CUCGAGAUUGCUUAGUAAUGACCCCUUUAAGCUGGAUAUUCAUCGGAGAUUUUUAAUUUGUAAGUCCAUUAAUUGAACAUUCAAUAAUAGUGCAUUCUUCUACCAACUGUCACUGCAGCCUAAUGACUCUGAAUUAAAAUAAUCAUCAAAAUAGUACUUUAACUUACAUUUGUUAAAAUGGUGAUGCUUAAAGUCAGUCUAACACAUAAAUUCAGAAUACGGAUGUUCAUGAUGUUGUUACAGUAAAUAAGACACAACACUCAGUCAAAGCUAAGUAUGUCGAUGCACAGAGAUAAAAAUUGAUUGAUAAGACUUUUUUUCUUUUUCUCCUCGGUUUUCCUUCUUUCUUUCUUUCAUAAUAAGGCUUCAGACAUGCGUAUUUCUCUUGCAUUUGUUGCUCUUUCAGUCUCUUCUGCCCCUGAACAUGAGUCAAUUUUGAUAACUAAAAACAAGACCACUCGUGCCAGGCUUUUUUCGGUUAUUUCAGUUAUCGAAGUGGUGCCCCAAGUUGCGGCUUGUUCAGUGAAAAGUUUGUGAGAAAUGUGAUACUUUUUGAUCGAGGAUUAUUUUAGGGUAUCCUGUGAGUAUUGAAGUAUUUUUGCACACCUCGCUUCCUCCUUGUCGCACUUCUUUUUUAAAAGACUUAAAACUUCCCUUCAGUAUUUGAAAAACCGGUCUCUAUAAUUUCACAGUUAAGAAAAAAAAAUUUUCUUUCCCGAAGGGUUGUGGGUCGAUAUGGGGCAAUGGCAGUUAUAGGUGUCGUAGAGCGUCAAAACGUACUAUAAAGCAACCUGUUUCUGUAUUGAAAAAAAAAAAAAAAAAAAAAAAAAACUUUUUGAGCAUUUGAAGGGAAACAUGGGAAAUAACAACGGUAGAACUACCAGAUCCCGUCUCUCGGUUUGCGACGUUAUAGAUUUCUUGCCAUACUUUAUUUCUCGAAUGAAAAAUAAUCCAAUGUCAAUUCUUCAAAACCUUCGUGAUUUUUCUUUCCUGUAGGUCUCUGUAUGUCUGAACUCUGUGAAAACUUCAAUGGUAUUGAUUUGUUCUCCAUCAAAAAAAUAAAAUGUGAGCGGAAAUUUUCAAACGUAGCAAACGAGGCUUGUGGUCUGGUAGUUUCAUCGCCGAUAUAUAUUCUAUUCUGUAUCAGUUAUUCUAUUUAAAAGUUUCAUGUAUUUCCCAAGACAAAAUUAAGAGGGUCAUUUAUUGAAUUUUAUUUCCAAAUCAAUUCCCAGAUAAUUUAAAGAAAUCUUUGGAUCAAAAUAGCAUCGGGUUGCAUUUUGACUUAGCUAUCCCCCCCUCCUUUUUUUUUUACUGACAGAUCUACAGUUUGAGCUCCGCAAAAGGCGGAACUGUUAAAUUACGCUUAGUGUCUUAAUGUUAAACUGUAAAUGUGAUAAAGACAUAUAGAACCACGUGGGCAAGCACAAGCAAAUAUUUGACCAAUUAAUAAAAUUCCCUAACGCAAAUUAUGACUAAGGAGCGUUAAUUCAUUGAAUUACUUCUGUUUCGUUUUUAUGUUCCUGGUAAUUAACUGAUGACUUAAUGAGCAGUAAGCACUUACAAAUGCAUGCCUACUGAGAAAUUCUUAGCAUACAAUUUCUAAUUCGAGACAUUGAUGGCCAAAAAAUAAUCUAUUAACUAAUAUUGCAUUUUUUCGCAUAAAACUCCUAAUUCGACACAUUAAUUGCCAAAAAAAUAAUCUAAUAACUAAUGUUGCAUUUAUGAUUUUUUUUCAGGGGCAGAUCCCGGAAAGUCUGGGCUAAUUAAAUGAUGAAGAUAAAUUAACAGCAAAAAGAAGCAUAAUCUAUUCAUGGGUAUUCCAAAAGUAUCAUCUUUUAAAGGCAUGCAGCCUUACUUCGGGCGAUUACUAAACGGGCAAGGUAUGUUUUUUGUUUAAAAAGCUUACAAAGUCUAAUCGUAAAGAAAGUACGCAGGUCAUGAGAUCCAUUCCUAGACUUUUAGACAAAUUUCCUAAUAUUGGCAAUUAAACAACCAGUCAAAUAUCCUCAGCCUCAAUUUUCAAAACAAAUUUCUUUGAAAAUUCACCAAAUUUUUAUCAAUCAAAGUCUACGAGUUCAAUCAUUCAUUUUUAGAAAAUUUAAGAAGCAUUCAAGUCAGCUGAACCUC
rnacentral:lncRNA from 1 species